UUUUCCUUAGCAACAAAGUUCUUACCAACAUAGAAUCUGAGAGUGCCUGACUAUACAAUCAUUAAUAUUUAGUUGGCAUUACUACCUAAAAGUUCUGCAGUUCUGUGAAUUGUUUAUUUAUGAGCAAUGCUCAUUUUUAAAUUUGAGAAUUAACAUUUAUUUUUGUGAAUCUCUGUGAAAAAUCAGUGAACACAUGGUGUUUAAUGACUAUUGUGAAGCACAGCUCUAAGUGACUCCUGAGUGGAGACAAGUUCAGUAGUUUUCAACAUGCUCUGUUGUCCAUUCCUUCCUGAGAAUCUCUACUUUUCUGCUUCUGCAAGCAAUCUUUCAGCUGAUGUGUUUUAUGAAGACCUGAUGUUUGUUUGGCCUACACUGAAGAAAUGGUGAACUGCCUUCUAAGGUGCAUGGGUCCAGUGAACUGCUGAUCUUUACUUAUCUUCCAGGGGGGUGUGAAUUUGCACCUGAAUUGAACUUUUAAGAUCAAUAAUAGAGAGGAAGAACCACUGCAACUAAUACCUUUUUCCGCUCACAAAGUAUUCAGCCUUGCUUCUUAAGAAAUGUUUAAUAAAUAUUUAAAGAAAACCA
rnacentral:lncRNA from 12 species